AUCACUUCUUGGCCUUUUGGCUAAGAUCAAAUGCAGUUCUAAUAGGGGUGUGUGUGUGUGUAAUCUUUAGGGUUUUCUACAUAAAAGAUCUUGUCAUGUGAGGAAAAAAGGCAAUUUACUCCUUCAUUUCCAGUUAGAUGCCUUUUAUUUC
rnacentral:snRNA from 1 species